rnacentral:rRNA from 1 species
AGUGCUAAGGUAGCGUAAUAAUUUGUCUUUUAAUUGAGGACCAGUAUGAAAGGCAUAACGAGGUUCAACAGUCUCCUGUUGUACAAAAAAAAAUUGAUUAAAAAUUGAAAAAUAUUUUAUAUUUAUGAAGGACGAGAAGACCCUAUAGAGUUUUAGUAGAAUGUUAAAUCUACUUUUGGUGGGGCAACAUUUGAGCAAAAAAAAUCAAAAAGUAUUUAACCUCAAAGAGUAACAAAACAAA